rnacentral:rRNA from 1 species
AUUGAACGCUGGCGGCAGGCCUAACACAUGCAAGUCGAACGGCAGCACAGAAGAGCUUGCUCUUUGGGUGGCGAGUGGCGGACGGGUGAGUAAUGUCUGGGAAACUGCCCGAUGGAGGGGGAUAACUACUGGAAACGGUAGCUAAUACCGCAUAACGUCGCAAGACCAAAGUGGGGGACCUUCGGGCCUCACACCAUCGGAUGUGCCCAGAUGGGAUUAGCUAGUAGGUGGGGUAAUGGCUCACCUAGGCGACGAUCCCUAGCUGGUCUGGAGGGAUGACAAGCCCCACUGGAACUGAGACACGGUCCAGACCCCUACGGGAGGCAGCAGUGGGGAAUAUUGCACAAUGGGCGCAAGCCUGAUGCAGCCAUGCCGCGUGUAUGAAGAAGGCCUUCGGGUUGUAAAGUACUUUCAGCGGGGAGGAAGGCGGUGAGGUUAAUAACCUCGCCGAUUGACGUUACCCGCAGAAGAAGCACCGGCUAACUCCGUGCCAGCCGCCGCCGUAA